UUCAUAAAACCUAGGGUUUCGAAAAAUCUCGCACCACAAACUAAAGAACCAGAAAUCCUUAGAAUACUACCAGUAAAACCAUGGAAGAUGAAAACCCAAAUGUCAGCACUCGUCGUACAUCAGGUAGAACUCGAAAAGUUGCCACUAAAAUGGUUGCUGCACUUGCCAGUACUGAUAAUCGAAAUCAAGCUGCAUUAGCUCGUCUUGAAGCUUUAGAAAAUGAUAAUGCUGGUAUGGAAACAGUUGAAGCUAAUGAUGAUGAUGAAGCUUCACUCGAUGAUGAAGACGAUGAUGUAGGUUAUGGACAUAAGAAGCAGGCAAAGGGGACAAAGCGUAAGACUAGGCAGGCAAAGGCACUUGAAAAUGCAAAGAAAGCUCCACGAACAUUCGCAGAGCUCUUACAUGAGGCGAACCUAGAGGCAAUGCCUUCGCACGUUCCUAACUAUUUGAAGGCUGCAGUUGGACCUCCUAGUUCUACCUGUCGACGCCAUUUUUGUACUGUUUGUGGGUUUACAGCUAAUUAUACAUGUGUGAGGUGUGGUGUUCGCUUCUGUUCCUGUCGUUGCCAGGUUGUACACAAUGACACUCGUUGUUUGAAGUUCGUUGCCUGAUAGUUCCUGCUUCGCAUCCUCGCUAGCUGAAGUCCACAGAUCAAGUCAAAUGGUACUCUGGAAAGUUAGCAAGCUAUAAAAUAACUCGUGUCUACCAAAAUGCUUUGAACAAUUGCAGAUACAGAAAGGUUGAACAACUCACACUUAGGAGAUAUCAUAUGGCAAAGAUCAAACCAACCAGAUGAUGCUUGUCAAUGGGGCAAACAAUUAGGCAGAUCAGCUGGAGGAGGCUCUACGGACUGCAAUUUUCCAACUCCAUUCUCGACAAGGAACGCCAUUGCCAAACCCCAGCUGAUAUGAGUAUCCAAGU